rnacentral:rRNA from 1 species
GAUGAACGCUGGCGGCGUGCCUAAUACAUGCAAGUCGAGCGAACAGGUAAGGAGCUUGCUCCUUUGACGUUAGCGGCGGACGGGUGAGUAACACGUGGAUAACCUACCUUUAAGACUGUGAUAACUUCGGGAAACACGAGCUAAUACCGGAUAACAUAUUGAAACGAAUGGAUCAAUAGUGAAUGGCGGCUUUGCUGACACUUAUAUAUGGAUCAGCGCGGUAUUAGCUAGUUGGUAAGGUAACGGCUUACCAAGGCAACGAUAAGUAGACGACCUGAGAGGGUGAUCGGCCAGACUGGAGCUGUGGCACUGUCCAGACUCCUACGGGAGGCAGCAGUAGGGAAUCUGCCGCAAUGGGCGAAAGCCUGACAGAGCAACGCCGCGUGAGUGAUGAAGGUCUUCGGAUCGUAAAACUCUGUUGUCAGGGAAGAACAAAUGUGUAAGUAACUGUGCACAUCUUGACGGUACCUGAUCAGAAAGCCACGGCUAACUACGUGCCAGCCGCCGCGGUAA